GCUAAGGUCCCAAAGUCAUGGUUAAGUGGGAAACGAUGUGGGAAGGCCCAGACAGCCAGGAUGUUGGCUUAGAAGCAGCCAUCAUUUAAAGAAAGCGUAAUAGCUCACUGGUCGAGUCGGCCUGCGCGGAAGAUGUAACGGGGCUAAACCAUGCACCGAAGCUGCGGCAGCGACACUGUGUGUUGUUGGGUAGGGGAGCGUUCUGUAAGCCUGCGAAGGUGUGCUGUGAGGCAUGCUGGAGGUAUCAGAAGUGCGAAUGCUGACAUAAGUAACGAUAAAGCGGGUGAAAAGCCCGCUCGCCGGAAGACCAAGGGUUCCUGUCCAACGUUAAUCGGGGCAGGGUGAGUCGACCCCUAAGGCGAGGCCGAAAGGCGUAGUCGAUGGGAAACAGGUUAAUAUUCCUGUACUUGGUGUUACUGCGAAGGGGGGACGGAGAAGGCUAUGUUGGCCGGGCGACGGUUGUCCCGGUUUAAGCGUGUAGGCUGGUUUUCCAGGCAAAUCCGGAAAAUCAAGGCUGAGGCGUGAUGACGAGGCACUACGGUGCUGAAGCAACAAAUGCCCUGCUUCCAGGAAAAGCCUCUAAGCAUCAGGUAACAUCAAAUCGUACCCCAAACCGACACAGGUGGUCAGGUAGAGAAUACCAAGGCGCUUGAGAGAACUCGGGUGAAGGAACUAGGCAAAAUGGUGCCGUAACUUCGGGAGAAGGCACGCUGAUAUGUAGGUGAAGUCCCUCGCGGAUGGAGCUGAAAUCAGUCGAAGAUACCAGCUGGCUGCAACUGUUUAUUAAAAACACAGCACUGUGCAAACACGAAAGUGGACGUAUACGGUGUGACGCCUGCCCGGUGCCGGAAGGUUAAUUGAUGGGGUCAGCGCAAGCGAAGCUCUUGAUCGAAGCCCCGGUAAACGGCGGCCGUAACUAUAACGGUCCUAAGGUAGCGAAAUUCCUUGUCGGGUAAGUUCCGACCUGCACGAAUGGCGUAAUGAUGGCCAGGCUGUCUCCACCCGAGACUCAGUGAAAUUGAACUCGCUGUGAAGAUGCAGUGUACCCGCGGCAAGACGGAAAGACCCCGUGAACCUUUACUAUAGCUUGACACUGAACAUUGAGCCUUGAUGUGUAGGAUAGGUGGGAGGCUUUGAAGUGUGGACGCCAGUCUGCAUGGAGCCGGCCUUGAAAUACCACCCUUUAAUGUUUGAUGUUCUAACGUUGACCCGUGAUCCGGGUUGCGGACAGUGUCUGGUGGGUAGUUUGACUGGGGCGGUCUCCUCCUAAAGAGUAACGGAGGAGCACGAAGGUUGGCUAAUCCUGGUCGGACAUCAGGAGGUUAGUGCAAUGGCAUAAGCCAGCUUGACUGCGAGCGUGACGGCGCGAGCAGGUGCGAAAGCAGGUCAUAGUGAUCCGGUGGUUCUGAAUGGAAGGGCCAUCGCUCAACGGAUAAAAGGUACUCCGGGGAUAACAGGCUGAUACCGCCCAAGAGUUCAUAUCGACGGCGGUGUUUGGCACCUCGAUGUCGGCUCAUCACAUCCUGGGGCUGAAGUAGGUCCCAAGGGUAUGGCUGUUCGCCAUUUAAAGUGGUACGCGAGCUGGGUUUAGAACGUCGUGAGACAGUUCGGUCCCUAUCUGCCGUGGGCGCUGGAGAACUGAGGGGGGCUGCUCCUAGUACGAGAGGACCGGAGUGGACGCAUCACUGGUGUUCGGGUUGUCAUGCCAAUGGCACUGCCCGGUAGCUAAAUGCGGAAGAGAUAAGUGCUGAAAGCAUCUAAGCACGAAACUUGCCCCGAGAUGAGUUCUCCCUGACUCCUUGAGAGUCCUGAAGGAACGUUGAAGACGACGACGUUGAUAGGCCGGGUGUGUAAGCGCAGCGAUGCGUUGAGCUAACCGGUACUAAUGAACCGUGAGGCUUAACCUUACAACGCCGAAGGUGUUU
rnacentral:rRNA from 1 species